UCCUCGUUAGUUAUAGUGGUCAGUAUCCCCGCCUGUCACGCGGGAGACCGGGGUUCAAUUCCCCGACGGGGAG
rnacentral:tRNA from 1 species